UGGGGAAUUUUGGACAAUGGGCGAAAGCCUGAUCCAGCAAUGCCGCGUGUGUGAAGAAGGCCUUCGGGUUGUAAAGCACUUUUGUCCGGAAAGAAAUCCUUGGCUCUAAUACAGUCGGGGGAUGACGGUACCGGAAGAAUAAGCACCGGCUAACUACGUGCCAGCAGCCGCGGUAAUACGUAGGGUGCAAGCGUUAAUCGGAAUUACUGGGCGUAAAGCGUGCGCAGGCGGUUUGCUAAGACCGAUGUGAAAUCCCCGGGCUCAACCUGGGAACUGCAUUGGUGACUGGCAGGCUAGAGUAUGGCAGAGGGGGGUAGAAUUCCACGUGUAGCAGUGAAAUGCGUAGAGAUGUGGAGGAAUACCGAUGGCGAAGGCAGCCCCCUGGGCCAAUACUGACGCUCAUGCACGAAAGCGUGGGGAGCAAACAGGAUUAGAUACCCUGGUAGUCCACGCCCUAAACGAUGUCAACUAGUUGUUGAGGAUUCAUUUUCCUUAGUAACGUAGCUAACGCGUGAAGUUGACCGCCUGGGGAGUACGGUCGCAAGAUUAAAACUUAAAUGAAUUGACGGGGUCAUAGCUGUUUCCU
rnacentral:rRNA from 1 species